UGUUUUCUCCCUGUGUGUUUCAGGRUUUCAGAGCUGUUGGUGAGUGGACCUUCCAAUAUCACAGAGAACACCACUGUCCCAGGAGAGUACCUUCUAAGAUGGACGCCCACUGAGGAUGAGGAGGGAGGGUACUAUCCUGUGUGCUUCAUCGCUCAGGGAGUGAACAACAGUUCCAAGUAUCACUCUGAGCUGCGCUGUGUGAUCGUCAGGGUUGGAAACACAAGCGCCAUCAUAACCAAGCGGAACCAA